CCUACGGGGGCAGCAGUGAGGAAUAUUUGUCAAUGGCCGGAAGGCUGAACCAGCCAAGCCGCGUGAAGGACGAAGGUGCCAAGCAUUGUAAACUUCUUUUGUCAAGGGACAAAAUCAGGCUCGAGAGCCUGACCGAGGGUACUUGAAGAAAAAGCAUCGGCAAACUCCGUGCCAGCAGCCGCGGUAAUACGGGGGGUGCGAGCGUUAUCCGGAUUUAUUGGGUUUAAAGGGGGCGUAGGCGGGCUGUUAAGUCAGCGGUAAAAGCCCGGGGCUAAACCCCGGCGAGCCGUUGAAACUGGCUGUCUUGAGAUGUCGAGAGGUAGGCGGAAUGCGCAGUGUAGCGGGGAAAUGCUUAGAUAUUGCGCAGAACUCCGAUUGCGAAGGCAGCAUACCGGCGGCGAUCUGACGCUGAGGCACGAAAGCGUGGGUAUCGAACAGGAUUAGAUACCCGAGUAGUC
rnacentral:rRNA from 1 species